GGCUGGUCCGAUGGUAGUGGGUUAUCAGAACUUAUUAACAUUAGUGUCGCUGAAGUUGGUAUACAUGCCCCCACUGCUAAAUUUGGCUAUUAA
rnacentral:Y_RNA from 1 species